UGGGGAAUCUUGCGCAAUGGACGAAAGUCUGACGCAGCCACGCCGCGUGAGUGAAGAAGGCCUUCGGGUUGUAAAGCUCUGUCGGAGGGGACAAAAACGUUUUGAGUGAAUAGCUCAAGAUCUUGAUGGUACCCUUAAAGGAAGCACCGGCUAACUUCGUGCCAGCAGCCGCGGUAAUACGAAGGGUGCAAGCGUUGCUCGGAAUUAUUGGGCGUAAAGGGUAGGUAGGUGGUGACAUUUGUCUGGGGUGAAAUCCCUGAGCUUAACUCAGGAAGUGCCUUGGAAACGGUGUCACUGGAGUACUGGAGAGGUUUGUAGAAUUCCUGGUGUAGCGGUGAAAUGCGUAGAGAUCAGGAGGAAUAUCAGAGGCGAAGGCGACAAACUGGACAGUAACUGACACUCAACUACGAAAGCGUGGGUAGCAAACAG
rnacentral:rRNA from 1 species